UACGUAGGGUCCGAGCGUUGUCCGGAAUUACUGGGCGUAAAGAGCUCGUAGGUGGUUUGUCGCGUUGUUCGUGAAAACUCACAGCUUAACUGUGGGCGUGCGGGCGAUACGGGCAGACUUGAGUACUGCAGGGGAGACUGGAAUUCCUGGUGUAGCGGUGGAAUGCGCAGAUAUCAGGAGGAACACCGGUGGCGAAGGCGGGUCUCUGGGCCGAUAUUGACGCUGAGGAGCGAAAGCGUGGGGAGCGAACGGG
rnacentral:rRNA from 1 species